GGGCCCGCACAAGCGGUGGAGCAUGUGGUUUAAUUCAAUGAUACGCGAGGAACCUUACCAGGGCUUAAAUGCAGUUGGACAGGUCUGGAAACAGACCCUUCUUCGGACUAAUUGCAAGGUGCUGCAUGGUUGUCGUCAGCUCGUGCCGUGAGGUGUCAGGUUAAGUCCUAUAACGAGCGCAACCCCUGUGGUUAGUUGCCAGCGAGUGAUGUCGGGAACUCUAGCCAGACUGCCGGUGCAAACCGUGAGGAAGGUGGGGAUGACGUCAAGUCAUCAUGCCCCUUACAUCCUGGGCUACACACGUACUACAAUGCUACGGACAAAGGGCAGCAAGUUCGCGAGGACAAGCAAAUCCCAUAAACCGUGGCUCAGUUCAGAUCGUAGGCUGCAACUCGCCUACGUGAAGGCGGAAUCGCUAGUAAUCG
rnacentral:rRNA from 1 species